rnacentral:rRNA from 2 species
UGGGGAAUAUUGGGCAAUGGGGGAAACCCUGACCCAGCAACGCCGCGUGAAGGAAGAAGGCCUUCGGGUUGUAAACUUCUUUUACCAGGGACGAAGAACGUGACGGUACCUGGAGAAAAAGCAACGGCUAACUACGUGCCAGCAGCCGCGGUAAUACGUAGGUUGCAAGCGUUGUCCGGAUUUACUGGGUGUAAAGGGCGUGUAGGCGGAGAUGCAAGUUGGGAGUGAAAUCCCGGGGCUCAACCCCGGAACUGCUUUCAAAACUGCAUCCCUUGAGUAUCGGAGAGGCAAGCGGAAUUCCUAGUGUAGCGGUGAAAUGCGUAGAUAUUAGGAGGAACACCAGUGGCGAAGGCGGCUUGCUGGACGACAACUGACGCUGAGGCGCGAAAGCGUGGGGAGCAAACAGG